UACGUAGGGGGCAAGCGUUAUCCGGAUUUAUUGGGCGUAAAGGGAACGCAGGCGGUCUUUUAAGUCUGAUGUGAAAGCCUUCGGCUUAACUGGAGUAGUGCAUUGGAAACUGGGAGACUUGAGUGCAGAAGAGGAGAGUGGAACUCCAUGUGUAGCGGUGAAAUGCGUAGAUAUAUGGAAGAACACCAGUGGCGAAAGCGGCUCUCUGGUCUGUAACUGACGCUGAGGUUCGAAAGCGUGGGUAGCAAACAGG
rnacentral:rRNA from 1 species